UUCCCACUUUCCCCGUUUUUUCCCGGUUUUCAGGGAGCGCGAGCGUCGGGAGAAGGAGCGGGAGGAGUGGGAGCGCCAGUACAGCCGCCAGAGCCGCAGCCCCUCCCCGCGCCACGGUCGGGAGUACAGCUCCUCCCGGAGGCACUCGCGGUCGCACUCGCGGAGCCCCCACUACCGGCACUGAGGGACGGAGCCCUCCCAAUAAAUCCCUGGAAAAUCCCAAAUUCCCCCGGAAUUGUCGGUGCCCGCGGGAAAUGGGGCAAAAACUGAGGAAAAGGGGAAAAAAAGCUGGAAAAAACGAGAAGAAA